rnacentral:rRNA from 1 species
GGGUUAGCAGGUCGGUCGUGCCAGUGGUAUGAACUGGUCUCGCUGAUCUCUCCCUCUUGACGAACCAUAAUGUCAUUUAUUUGGUGUUGUGGGGAAUCAGGACUGUUACUUUGAAAAAAUUAGAGUGUUUAAAGCAGGCUCACGCUUGAAUACAUUAGCAUGGAAUAAUGAAAUAGGACGUUUGAUGCUAUUUUGUUGGUUUCUAGGAUCGACGUA